GGAUAGAUUACUUUAGGCUGAGUGAGGUGGCUUUUGAGUUCCUACUAGAAGGGUGUGUAGGAUUGUGACUAGAAGAGAGAGGAAGGUCUGGAUGGAGCAACAAGAGUCUGGGCUAUUAACACAGGUUUGAGUCAGGCUGACCGGAGCUGUAAAGCCCUUCUCGUUCUCACUGUGUGUUCUUUUCAGUUCUGUCUUCCUGAGGCUGCUGUUUCUGGGCAUGGCCAGGGGAUCUUCAGACUUUACAAACCAGUUGUGCAGAGCCAGGCAUUUCAAUAAGGAACAAAAUGCUGAGUAACAACAUGAAGUCAGAGUGUUGCUUGCCAAGAGCUGGGAGGCCUGGGUGGUUUCCCAAUCUUAAAGAAGCAGAAGGAUAUUAAAGUGAGCCUCCCAAAGGAAAACGUGGAUCUACUUACCAACGCAGAAAAUGAUACACACGGAUUCGAUUUAGGCACGCUACAUUCAAAUGACUUGGAAGAGCAGGUUCUCUGAGCCAGGAUACUAAAGUCCCUGUUUAGGAAAGAGCCACGUUGUAUGUUUACCCUACCACAAAGAUACAGAAUUCUGGAGGAAAGUGGCUCUGGGAAUUGAACAGUGGCUCAGUGAUGUUGGGGCCACCAAGUCUGCAAUUCUCCCUACCUGUUCUUCAUGGUUGUAAGAUGACUGCUGCAAUUCUCGGCAUCAUGUGCAUGUUAAUGUCAGGAGGAAGAAAGGAAGAGGGAGCACUGGGAUGUUACAUUCAUUUUGUCAGGAAAAGCAAAGCCUUUCCAGACAGCUCCGAAACUUGCUUACCUCUCAUUGGCCAGCACCAUCACUUGACCACUUGUCCACUCCUAGCUGCAAGGAAAGUGGCAAAGUAGAAGGUAUUUGAGAAUGUCUGCUGGGUUAGCCAAAACAAUAGUGACUUCUACACCCAAUUUUCUGGGCACUGCAGAAGUAUCCUUGAGUCCUAUGUGAUCAGAGGGAGAGCAAACCUCAAUAAUGAAACAGAUUCAAUUUCCAUCACCCAGUGAGACACCAUGGGAUUAGAAUAAAUUUUUAAAAAAACAAAUUGAAAAAAAUGCAUUUUUAAAACAACAAAAUCAGAAAGGAUGAAAGGUGAUAUUUCUAGCAUAUCAGUUUGUGGUGGUAAAUUAAUUACCUUAUACAAAGGCCUCAGUGACUUUCUUCUCCUUACCUAACGAAUCAUCUUUAAAAUAAGUAAAAUAAAGAAACAAGAGCAGCAGCAGAUGCUUCCUAAAAAGAAGUUACCAAAUCUGUUCACCACAAACCUGAGAAUUCAACUGUGGACAUUUGGACACCAGCAAUGAACAUGAAACUCAGCUUAUGAGGCAUAUUUGGCUAAAGGUCAAGGUGACUUAAAGUUCAUCAUAGGACAUCUACAAUUUGCAAAGCAGGUGACUGGAUAUGGACUCCUUCCAAGUCUCAUUUAAUUGGAUAAUGCCUACGUUUUAAGUAUCAGAAGUGAGUCUUUCUCUAUUAAAUGAAGUCAGUUCCACUAAAACCUAAAUCUUGUUUGGCAGGCACUCCAUGUUUCUUAAUUUUUAUUCCAUGCUGUAUAUUCUUUUAGACUUGAUUUUCACUUUUUUUUCUUUUUUCCUGUACAUUUAUCUUUGCUGUGAAACAAAGUGCCCUGCUUUGAAGGACAGGUUUGUGGGCUGCUGGUGGUGAGACAACAGCAGUCCUUCCAAGUCUUCCUCCCAUCACUCUGUUAGCUCUCCCUUUGUUUUUAAUUAGCAUUACACCAGUUAAUUCUGUUAUCUCUUAACCCUGGUUCUGCAUCCUCUUCUUCUUUUCUAUUCCUUACUCCGCUCCUGUUUUUUCUUGUUCUGCUUUUCCAAGAAAUGUCUUGUCUCCUCAUCAGUUGACUGUCUUCUCUUUCCAGAGGGACCAUAAAGGUGCCAGCCUAAGGAACACGUAAAACGUGGGAACAGACAAACAAGCUGCUGCCUAUUACAGAGAUAGAUAAUUAACUUUGGACCAUUACAUGCAAUUCAUCAGCUUAUCUUUUUCAAACUUUAUAUAAGAAGUCAUUUCCCAAUGGUAACCACUUGCCAGCUGCAACUUUGACGCAUAUUAUCAGGAUAGGUGAGAUUGAUGGGGGCCCUUUGAACUCUUCCCAGGGAAUUAUCUUUAUAAUGUUACAGUUUUCUCUAUAGCAUGGUCAUAUUGUUAACAUUGGUUAUAAGGUCAUAUGGUUAGUAUGGUUAGUAUUGGUGGCUCACAGCUGUAAUACCAGCACUUUGGGAGGCCAAGGUGGGAGGAUCACUUGAGCCCUGGUGUUCAAAACCAGCUCUGGAAACAUAGCAAGACCUUGUCUCUACAAAAAAAAAUUAAAUAAAUUAAAAGAUUAGCUGGGCAUGGUGGCACAUGCCUGUAGUCCUCACUACUUGGGAAACUAAGGUGGGAGGAUCCUUUGAGCUUGGGAGGUUGAGGCUGCAGUGAGCUGUGGUUGUGCCAUGGCACUCCAGCCUGGGUGACAGAGUGAGAGCCUGUCUCAAAAAAAAAAAAAAAAAAAAAAAAAAGUACCUGUAAGGUCUUUGGGAUUUUGAAGAUGAAAGGUGUUGCAUAAAUUGAAUGAAUUCACUUAGAGAGAUAGAAGGCAACUACAGGGAAUAUUACGUACAUCAUGGAGCGGAAAGCACUAAGGCCUGUGGAAUUAUUCUCAGUGACACGUCGUUGAGGGCAGUGGUCCACAUGUUUUGAACAUGGUUUCUCCCAGGUGAAAAGGAUGAGUAAUUUGUUCUCCUUCACAUGUGUGUAUGUAGGUCUUAUACACAGCAGAUUUGCCACAAAACAAAUGAAGAUUACACUUUGGGCCCCUCUCUCACAUGAGCCCCUUCCAAAGUUCUGUUUGCUAAUUUUACAUUUUGUAAUUUCUUAUUAUUUUUCUUAAAGAAGCCUCCUCCAAUUGCAUAAACUUCAAGCCUCACAAAAUUUGGAUCCAUACCUGAGCCAACAUACAAUACAAUUUUCCAUUUCUAACUUUUAGUUGUACCUAGUGUUUUAUUGGAAAUGAUCAAGUACAUGAGUGGUGUCUUUUUAAAAAAUUUACUUUAUUUGCUUCUCUAGCUUCAUCGUUAGUUAGGCAGUUAAAUCUAACCAUUUGGAGGUAUUUUCAUAUAACCUCCAUUGAGGACAAUUUGGCAAUAGCUUUUAAAAUUAUAAAUAUAUUUGUACAGUUAUAAGCUGCCAUAUCUAUAAAACUAUUUGAUAGACAAAAGUUGAAAACCCUCCAAGAGCUCAUCAAUAAAAGAUUAAAUUAAUUAUGAUACAUCCAUAUGAGCACUGAGCAGCUGUGAAAAAAAUGAGGAAGUAAUUCCUGUGCUGAUAUGGGAAGACUUCCAAGACAUGUUGUUAAGUACAGAAUGGUGUAUACAGUAUGCUAUAUAGUGUGGUAAAAGGUUUAGGGAUAAGCAUUUAUAUUUAUAACUGUUUAUAUUUACAUAAAGUAAUUCUGAAAGGAUACAAAAAAGCUAACAAAAGAGAUUACCUGUGGUAGUGUGGGGCUUGGGGAUUGGAUGGGUGAGAAACAGUAGUGGAAAUGAGAUAUUGUACAGUUUAAGGCAUUAUACACCUAUAAAAACAUGGGAAUGUAUUACCUACUCAAAAAGUGAAAUUAAGAGAGAUACAAGAAACUGUUUGGAUGUUCCUUCCCGUUUCAAUGUAUCUAUAUUUUUUCAGCCCUCAAAGUUAUUAUAAAUGUCAUUAUAAUAACUUCAUAAAGCUUCCCCUAUAAUGAGAAUCUUACCAUUCUCCUAACUCCAAUAGCACUGUAAUCCACCUCUGUUAGGACACAUCACUCUUCAUCAUGUGUGAUUAUUAUUUGCAGAUAUCAUCUUCAAGGCUCUUCUCUAUUUACCACCUGCCAUUCUUGUUCUCACCUCUACAUGACCUUCACAUUUUAUUUCUCUCGGUUUUUUGGACAAGCUACAUUCCCUUCCACAGAGAAGGCUUCCCUGACCCCUUUCACUUGGUUGGAUUACCUUGCUAUUCUUUUCUAUCUUUGUACAUUCCUUUUCAAAAUACUUAUCUCCCUUGUUGUUACCUAUAAUGUCUGUCUUCUUUACUCAAGAGUCUAGACAAAAAGCUCCACGCCAGCCUCGGCUGUGUUUGUAUUGUUUACGUCUGUGUUCCUAGUGCUUAAUAAAAUACCUAGCAAGGGUUAAUAAGUACUUGUUGACUGGAAGGGAAUGACUUCCUUCCCUUACUAGAGAGUGAUUUCCUUACAGGCGAGAUGUGUCAACCUUCUAUAGCCCACAUAAAAUAAAGGACAAUAUCUCCUAUUGGAUAAAAGACAAGAAUUUACAUAUGAGUUUUGUCAUUUACCAUACCAGCUCUGGGAUCUUAACUUUUUAGCCUCUCUGGGCUUCAGAGCUCUCAUCUACAUUAAGUUUUUCAUUCAUUCUGUCAUUCAAUAAAUAUUUAUGGAAUGCUUAGCAUGUGCCACUAGUCUAGCAACUGUGGAUACUGAAGUACGCAAGGCAGAAUAGUACUUGCUAUCUGAAGCACACGGUUUAAUUGGGGUGGGGAAAGAGUUGGUGGGGAGGGUCUCAUUAAACAUAUAAGCCAAAUAAACCAAAAUUACAGGUAGAGUUAAGGCCAUGGCAGAGCAACUGAAGGUGAUGAAUUCAGAGAGGCCAGGAAGGGACCCUCUGAAGCGAUCAUAUCUGAACUGAGUUUUUGAGUCAACUAAAUGAGAUAGUGUCUGUGAAUGUCUUAGAAUCAUGUCUGGCAUGUAAUAAGUGUCAUAAAUGAUAAGUAUUACUAUUUAUAAAAACUUGUCAAAAAAUGAACCAAAAAUACAAGCAGCUUGUCUUUCACAUAUAAAAUACUAUAGUUGCAACAUGUAUAUGUCUUUGUAUAGUGAGAAAGCAUAUUGUAUGUAUAUUAUAUUUCAUUUGAGUAAGUUAUUUUUUAACUGAAGGAAUCUCCUAUUUUGGUUCUGAAAUAGUUAACGUUCCUUUUAAGUAGUCUCAUUUAUACCUUGAGAGUGAUUUAAUUACCCACAGCAUCUGUUUAACAUUGUACUCACAGAGAAAUCACAGAAACGUAUGCAACAUUGGUUGUUCCUAAGUAGAUUCAAUGUUCUCUAAGGUCUCAUUAACCUGUAAGUUCUCACAUGUUUGUUACAUCUGAGCUAAUGAAGAAAUAGCCAGGGGUAAGGAACUGAGAAAGAGACUAUGGCUGUCUCAACACAAACCCAUUCCAGGACUGUAAAAAAUAUCUGACAAGUCAUAUCUUCCCAGUGUGGUAGUAAAAUCACUGGAGUGUAUUGGAUGGUAUAAGCAACUGAAGAGGAUUAAGAAUGGCCUCUGUGGCUGGGCACAGAGGUUCACGCUUGUAAUCUCAGAACAUUGGGAGGCUUAGGUGGGAGAAUCACUUGAACUCAGGAGUCUGAGACCAGCUUGGGCAACAUAGGAAGACCCCCACCUCUACAAAAAAAAAUUAAAAAUUAGCUGGGUCUCGUGGUGCACGUCUGUGGUCCCAGCUACUCAAGAGGCUGAGGUGGGAG
rnacentral:lncRNA from 1 species